AGUCGAGCGAACGGAUAAGGAGCUUGCUCCUUUGAAGUUAGCGGCGGACGGGUGAGUAACACGUGGGUAACCUACCUAUAAGACUGGAAUAACUUCGGGAAACCGGAGCUAAUGCCGGAUAACAUUUGGAACCGCAUGGUUCUAAAGUAAAAGAUGGUUUUGCUAUCACUUAUAGAUGGACCCGCGCCGUAUUAGCUAGUUGGUAAGGUAACGGCUUACCAAGGCAACGAUACGUAGCCGACCUGAGAGGGUGAUCGGCCACACUGGAACUGAGACACGGUCCAGACUCCUACGGGAGGCAGCAGUAGGGAAUCUUCCGCAAUGGACGAAAGUCUGACGGAGCAACGCCGCGUGAGUGAUGAAGGUUUUCGGAUCGUAAAACUCUGUUAUUAGGGAAGAACAAAUGUGUAAGUAACUGUGCACAUCUUGACGGUACCUAAUCAGAAAGCCACGGCUAACUACGUGCCAGCAGCCGCGGUAAUACGUAGGUGGCAAGCGUUAUCCGGAAUUAUUGGGCGUAAAGCGCGCGUAGGCGGUUUCUUAAGUCUGAUGUGAAAGCCCACGGCUCAACCGUGGAGGGUCAUUGGAAACUGGGAAACUUGAGUA
rnacentral:rRNA from 1 species